rnacentral:rRNA from 1 species
UACGUAGGGUGCAAGCGUUAAUCGGAAUUACUGGGCGUAAAGCGUGCGCAGGCGGUGAUGUAAGACAGGUGUGAAAUCCCCGGGCUUAACCUGGGAACUGCAUUUGUGACUGCAUCGCUGGAGUGCGGCAGAGGGGGAUGGAAUUCCGCGUGUAGCAGUGAAAUGCGUAGAGAUGCGGCGGAACACCGAUGGCGAAGGCAGCCCCCUGGGCUGAGAUUGACGCUCAGGCACGAAAGCGUGGGGAGCAAACAGG